CGGUUCCUGGCCUAUCACCCCAUUGCUUUGUGGCAUUAAUUGAAGCUUCAUCAUCGUCAUCAUCAUCGCUAACAUCUAGGCUCUACAUAUACAUCUAGUAGAUCGUAUCUUGCGCUGGCACGGGCGCGUGGAACAAGCCCUCGAGGCAAGCCCCCAUUGCCGCAACCAACCAUUCGUCUGUUCGGUGCUCGUGUUCCACGACCCUUCUACUCCUGUCUGUAGGCUCGACGCUUCAUCAAGGAGAGCAUUUCAAGGUAAGCGCUGCAACUCUGGGGCGUUUGUGUAGGUGUUGGGUGGUUUGAGCUUGAUUCUUGGAAAUAAUUAAGCGUCGUCCCGUCGAUAGGUAUCCGCUGCCUUCACAGUGCCGGUGGACGCGCGUUGUUGCUACUUCAUCGCGUCGAGAGCGUCUCCCGAGUGUCCUCAGCUAUACUCCGUCUCGGAAAAUCAGGUGCAACGCUGUGGAGGCUAGAGUUGCGUGUUGCAGUGGCUGUGUCCGCAUUUAGAAAUUGAUGUUCUUGCUUGACUCGUGCUGCGCUCUGGUGUCAUAAGUAUCACUCGCUACAAUUAUCUGCAGCGAUCGCAUGAUGGAGCCACGACCUCCAUGUCUGUGCGUUUGUAUGAAUUCAAUAGGCCAAUGAGGUGUGAUCACGCCACCUGAGGGCCACCAAUGAGGUGUGAUCACGCCACUUGUGUGAUAGCCAGUGGCAUGACGGAACAUGCCCGUGAAAUGCUAUGCAAGUCGAAUAAACGCCACGUUGGCCACGCUCUCUCACCCGGUACAAGCGUCUUCGCCAAUUUCAUUGCGUCGUCCUCUCGGACGCGAGGCCCCUCCGUCGGCCGGCGUUGAGUGCGACGGUACAGAAUGGCGACGAGGAUUUAGAAGAACCUGCUGUCUCAAAUGCCGAUCAGCCCUCCCCGAUGCUACUGCGGUAGCGGUCGAAAAAGCGCCGAAAGAAGAUAUGGAACGACUAAUAUCGAGCCUGUCGGAGGGUCCAGCUCAAGUGUCUACAUCCCUAAGGAUUCAGCUUUUCAGUACUGUGCGACAGUCCCAGCGCGGUUGUGCGCGUGGACGUUGCGCGUGCCGCGAGCCAGAAGCUGCAGCACUGGUUCAAGGAGCUUGCUGAGCCGUUGACGUGGCGACCGUUGUUCUUGGCGCUCCUGAACUGCACCAGGCCCUACAGCACCGGUUCCGUACUCGACGUUCGCCAGAGACAAGGCUGCUGCAGACACCAAACACCAGCAGAGGAGCCGGUUCUGGUUCAAGGUUCUGGCUCAAGGCUCUGGCUCAAGGUUCUCAAGGUUCAUUCUGGCUCAAGCUCCCACAAAACGUGUUGUUUUGUGGGAGCUUGGUGGCUUUCCUUUUUUUUUUUUUUCUUUUUGCUGGAGCAGGAAAGGGUUAGCGCUGUUCAUUCGAAAAAGACCAAGGUCAAUGAGCAAGCACAUAUGAAACGCAUGACUCUUGGGAUAGAGUUUCGGGUCUGUGAACACCGCCUGUUGACUGUAAGUCAAGACAAGGUCGACCAGCUGAACAAUUCUCUCCGCGGCAAGUCAGUGACGGCAGACUACAUUGAUGCUUGGAACUUGUCCAUGAGCAUUGAUAACCUCGCACAAGCGGCUCAGGGGUUCGCCGCCGAACCUCUAGCUGGUCAUACCGCGCGUCCUGUCAACACAGAACUCGAAAACAUGAGACUGCGGCUGCAUCUGCAAGAGCGGCAAGAAAUCUGUCGAUGGGGGGCACCUUCAUAGAGGGACAGUGGUGACUGUGACCGCAACAGGACUCACGGAGGACCUUUCCAGAAGGCUCGCAUAUUUCGCGAUUCGACGACUCUAAAUAAAACAUUCAUCCGCGUGAACACCA